rnacentral:rRNA from 1 species
AAUCAACGCUGGCGGCGUGCCUAACACAUGCAAGUCGAACGAGAAAGUGGAGCAAUCCAUGAGUACAGUGGCGCACGGGUGAGUAACACGUGACUAACCUACCCUUGAGUGGGGGAUAACUGAGGGAAACCUUAGCUAAUACCGCAUAAUACCUACGGGUCAAAGGAGCAAUUCGCUUAAGGAGGGGGUCGCGGCCGAUUAGUUAGUUGGCGGGGUAAUGGCCCACCAAGACGAUGAUCGGUAUCCGGCCUGAGAGGGCGCACGGACACACUGGAACUGAAACACGGUCCAGACUCCUACGGGAGGCAGCAGUGGGGAAUUUUGCGCAAUGGGGGAAACCCUGACGCAGCAACGCCGCGUGGAGGAUGAAGUCCUUCGGGACGUAAACUCCUUUCGAUCGGGACGAUUAUG